UCUAUUGUGGCAGAUUUUAUGCAAUGAAUUUAAAAUUCAUUUAUAAAUAAAUAUAUUUCUAUAGAA
rnacentral:tRNA from 1 species